rnacentral:rRNA from 1 species
AUGCGGAGCGUUGCAACGUCCAGGACCAGUUUGCUGUCGCAGCAGCUGCAUGAUUUGUUCAAACAGCCAGUGCCAUAUGACUUGUUGACAGACUUGUCACCGGUUCAUCAGGUUUAUCUUGUGUUAGUAGUAGAUCAGUUGCCUACCAUUUGGCAUUUCCCCCUUCUUUUUAGCUCCUUUUGUAUUGCUGUAUUUUCUUCUGAUGUUGUAUAUUCCCUCUUUGCCAAAAUCACGCUCAAUUUUGGGGACCUUUGUGGACUGCAGAAAUUUGUGUUCGGUGUGACUGAAGAUAUUGAAUAG